UACGUAGGGUGCAAGCGUUGUCCGGAAUUAUUGGGCGUAAAGAGCUCGUAGGCGGUUCGUCACGUCGGCUGUGAAAUCCCGAGGCUCAACCUCGGGUCUGCAGUCGAUACGGGCGGACUUGAGUACUGCAGGGGAGACUGGAAUUCCUGGUGUAGCGGUGAAAUGCGCAGAUAUCAGGAGGAACACCGGUGGCGAAGGCGGGUCUCUGGGCAGUAACUGACGCUGAGGAGCGAAAGCGUGGGGAGCAAACAGG
rnacentral:rRNA from 1 species